GAAUUGGGAGAGGAACAAAAGGACAGGAGGAAUACACAAAGAUGAGGCACGCAUGACUAUUUCUGAAUAUAAAGAAGGUAGGCUAUACCGAGCUGAAGGAAGCCAAACAAACAGCUCGAGGUCAAGACGCAAACUCUUCCCGCCUGAAACAGGGCAAAGUUACCUGCACGCGGACAACUUUGAUAUACGCUCUGAAAGCUUUUAAUGGGUUGUCUGAGGGCGUGCUUUCCAUACCCCAAAUCGAUAACCGGAACUCCUUUUCCGGGGACCAAACUUCUUUCGCCAAAACAGGAAGAACAUGGGUGUGUCUUGUAUUUUCUUACAGUCUCUGCUUGUAAGGUGUGUGCGCGUGGCUGUGUUGUGCAGCAACUUUACAUUCAAACGCUCCCGGGCCUACAGCUGUCACGGGCCCGCCUCUGGGUCUGAGCCUCUGGAUGCCUGGGACUCGGACCGCUCCCUGGCCCAGACCGCUCGCAGCCCUGCACCGCCCCCUCCGGACAUUUCCCACUGAGAACCAGAGCCAGAGUCUGGAACCCAGAACCUGGAACUGGAACCCAGAAUCAGAACCCGGUACUGGAACUGAGAACCUGGAACUGGAACUAAGAAUGAGAACCAAGGACUGAAACUAAAGACUGGAACUCUGAACCCAGCACCCAGAACUGGAACUAUGAACCAUCACUGGAACCAUAAACCAGAAAUGUAGGACCAGGCUGGAAGGGGAGCCUUUUGCUCACCUACUGCCUGACUGCCAGAGUGACCGCAGUACCCUUGUGUGUCCUCUAGGUGGCAGAAAAGGCACAAAGCAGGGGAGAUCAGCCCAAGCAGCUGAAGCUUCCUCUCUGAGCAGUGCUGAAGUCUCUGAAAGCAGCCCAGCCUCCAGGUGUGUUUCUGCGUAGUCUUCUGUGAAAGGUAGGAGAUUUAUGUGUGACGAAGGGAACCCCCAACCCCAGGCCUGUACGUUUGGUGACAGACUGGAUUAUUUUUUAAUAGGGUAUGUUGUCCUUCACCCGUAUUUUAUGUACAAGAAAAAUAAUUCUUUAGGGCUAAAAUAAAAUGC